rnacentral:rRNA from 1 species
AUGAUCCCCCAGCCUGAUGAUAGCGUAACUAGCUUCACUAGGAAACACAUCUGGGAAGAUUUUGCACCUGGGCAAAUGAUGGAGGGUGAUGUAAUGGACUUCCUCGUUGAUGAUUGGAAGCAAGAUCCCGAGAGAAAUGUUGAUUUCACAUCUGGAAAAAGGGUAUUGCUGAGUCCAUAUUUCAUCACGAUCAUGAUGCCUCUAUUCAAGCCUAUGAUUUUAGCAAAGGAUAAGAAAGUGAACCACUAUUCAUUAUAUGUCAUGAAUCGGUACCGAAGUAGCAUUGACAUCCUUGACUCUUUACCUUAUCCGAAAAACCGCCGUCCUUCAAAGAACACCUAUCAUAAAGACUGCGAGAAGAUUAUUUCCAGAUUAGUCAAAGUAAUGAAGGCUGUGUAUGGUGAUGCUUAG